rnacentral:rRNA from 1 species
AACGAACGCUGGCGGCAUGCCUAACACAUGCAAGUCGAACGAGACCUUCGGGUCUAGUGGCGCACGGGUGCGUAACGCGUGGGAACCUGCCCUUAGGUUCGGAAUAACUCCCCGAAAGGGGUGCUAAUACCGGAUCAUGUCUUCGGACCAAAGAUUUAUCGCCUUUGGAUGGGCCCGCGUUGGAUUAGCUAGUUGGUAGGGUAAAAGCCUACCAAGGCGACGAUCCAUAGCUGGUCUGAGAGGAUGAUCAGCCACACUGGGACUGAGACACGGCCCAGACUCCUACGGGAGGCAGCAGUGGGGAAUAUUGGACAAUGGGGGAAAGCCUGAUCCAGCAAUGCCGCGUGAGUGAUGAAGGCCUUAGGGUUGUAAAGCUCUUUUACCCGGGAUGAUAAUGACAGUACCGGGAGAAUAAGCUCCGGCUAACUCCGUG